UACGAAGGGGGCUAGCGUUGUUCGGAUUUACUGGGCGUAAAGGGCGCGUAGGCGGUGCAAUAAGUCAGGCGUGAAAGCCCCGGGCUCAACCCGGGAAUUGCGCUUGAUACUGUUGCGCUUGAAUCCAGGAGAGGAUGGCGGAAUUCCCAGUGUAGAGGUGAAAUUCGUAGAUAUUGGGAAGAACACCAGUGGCGAAGGCGGCCAUCUGGCCUGGAAUUGACGCUGAGGCGGCGAAAAGCGUGGGGAGCAAACGGG
rnacentral:rRNA from 1 species